rnacentral:tRNA from 1 species
GCCCAGAUGGCGGAAUUGGUAGACGCAGCAGACUCAAAAUCUGCCGCCUUCGGGUGUGUGGGUUCGAUUCCCACUCUGGGCA